rnacentral:rRNA from 1 species
CAGCAGCCGCGGGAAUACGUAGGUGGCAAGCGUUGUCCGGAAUUAUUGGGCGUAAAGGGCUCGCAGGCGGUUUCUUAAGUCUGAUGUGAAAGCCCCCGGCUCAACCGGGGAGGGUCAUUGGAAACUGGGAAACUUGAGUGCAGAAGAGGAGAGUGGAAUUCCACGUGUAGCGGUGAAAUGCGUAGAGAUGUGGAGGAACACCAGUGGCGAAGGCGACUCUCUGGUCUGUAACUGACGCUGAGGAGCGAAAGCGUGGGGAGCGAGCAGGAUUAGAUACCCCCGUAGUCCCUGUCUCUUAUAC